rnacentral:misc_RNA from 1 species
AAGUCGUAACAAGGUAACCGUAGGUGAACCUGCGGUUGGAUCAUUAAUAAAUGAAUGGUGGAUCAGGAAUCCUUCAAACUUUGGUUUGUUAAGGACUGAUUCAUCAACAACCCUCUGUGCAACUAUCUGGUAUUUUGGGCAACGCCCCUGUGGUUUUGCCCAGCUUUAUUAAAAACCCCUUUUAAAUUAAUCUUAAAUUUUAAAUAUAAAAUUAAAACAACUUUUGACAACGGAUCUCUUGGCUCUC